GACAGAGGUGCCGAGCGUUAGGCGGAAUCACUGGGCUUAAAGCGUGUGUAGGCGGAUGGGUAAGUACCUUGUGAAAUCCCACGGCUCAACCGUGGAACUGCUCGGUAUACUGCUCGUCUUGAGCCAACUAGGGGCGACCGGAACAAACGGUGGAGCGGUGAAAUGCGUAGAUAUCAGGAAGAACACCCGUGGCGAAAGCGGCUCUCUGGAACGGUACUGACGCUGAGACGCGAAAGCGUGGGGAGCGAACAGG
rnacentral:rRNA from 1 species